UAUUUUCAAGUAAAGGUUGAUCUACUGGACACAAAUCCAAAAUGAAGGCCAUAAUUAUUUUCGCGAUGGUCGGCUUUUUUGUCGUGAACGCCUUCUUGCGGAACAAACGACAAGCGUUCGAUCUACCAGAUAGCACUUCUACCUUGUCACCAAACACUGAAUUCAGGUGUGAGUCCGACGGUUACUUCGCCGACAUGGGAAGUGAGUGCAAAACAUAUCACGUCUGUAAAACACAAAUACAGUACGGAAUAAAAAAGACCAGGCAAUAUACUUUUGCUUGUGGUAACCUAACUGUCUUCAACCAACUGUACUUAACUUGCACUUAUCCUGAUGAACAGUUAAUUCCUUGUAAUAGGUCCGAUGAAUUGUACUACUUGAACGAAAGGCUUUUAGCCGGAGAUCCAAAACUCUAUUAU